GUCUCCGUGCUGUCCCAUCGCUGCCCCUCCUGGCUGGCCAGCGCGGCGGCUCCUCGGUGUUCCCGGCCGGUGGCCCGCGGGCACGGAGAGGCGGCCCGCCGGGUGCAGGAUGGCGACAGCCGUCGGGAUGAACAUCCAGCUGCUGCUGGAGGCGGCCGACUACCUGGAGCGGCGGGAGAGAGAAGCUGAACAUGGGUAUGCCUCCAUGCUGCCAUACAGCAAGGACAGAGAUGCCUUCAAACGGAGGAACAAGCCCAAGAAGAACAGCACCAGUAGCAGAUCAACUCACAAUGAAAUGGAAAAGAACAGGCUUUGUUCUCAACACAAAACCAGUUGAGACCUUUACUCACUCUCAAGAAGGCUUUGAUUCCUUGGCGUGCUCACCUCCGCCUGUGCCUAGAGAAGCUAAAGGGAUUGGUACCGCUGGGCCCUGAGUCAAGCCGACACACCACUCUGAGCUUGCUGACAAAAGCCAAAUUGCAUAUAAAGAAACUUGAAGACUGUGACAGAAAAGCUGUCCACCAAAUAGACCAGCUUCAGCGGGAACAGCGGCACCUGAAGCGGCGGCUGGAGAAGCUGGGUGCCGAGAGGACUCGGAUGGACAGCGUGGGCUCUGUGGUGUCUUCGGAGCGCUCUGACUCUGAUAGAGAAGAACUGGACGUGGACGUAGACGUGGACGUGGACGUGGAUGUGGAGGGCACAGACUACCUCAAUGGGGACCUGGGCUGGAGCAGCAGCGUGAGUGACUCGGACGAGCGAGGCAGCAUGCAGAGCCUGGGCAGUGACGAGGGCUACUCCAGUGCCACUGUCAAAAGAGCCAAGCUCCAGGACGGGCACAAGGCGGGCCUCAGUCUAUAGGAGAGUCCUCUCCACCUCACCGGGUUAGGUAGUGUACCGGACCUGUCCAGACGCCCUUGCACGCAAACCUCAUGUACCACCUUGACCAAUAGCAGCUCUGUCCACUUUGCAGAAAGCACAUAGGGUUGUGGUCUUGAGUGCAGUCAGUCGCUUCUCUGUCCAUACAUGUCGGCACUGAGAGACUGCACAUUCCAGUCAGUUCAGAGCACCCAAGAAUCCUUAGCCCAAGCAAGUGUCACCUCUCAGCAGCCCCCUGUGCACUGUCCUGCAGCUGACGAGAUCUUUCCUAGUUUUCUGGCUCACGAUGAUACUCGCCCAGGAGAGAAGUUGGAGCUUUGUCUGGCACAUAGGAAACCACAGCAAGCAAACUUCUCAAAGGGAACUCAAUCGCAGAAACCCCAAAGGAAGCUUUGAAAGCAAAACCGAAGAGCACUGAGAAGCCAGGAGCACCUCCAGCAAGCCCUGCUGCGGCCCGGUCGCAGUGCUGAGGCGGCUCUACUUAAGAGCGGGCACUCGGCAGCUCAGGAGAACAGUGUGCCCCCUGCGUGCUGUUCUGGGGGCUUGGUGUGUGCUGUGUCUCAAGGCCCCCCCAUGCCCCGAGUUUGUUGAUGCUCCUUGUCUCUGGAACAUUGUCCUACCUCAGAGAUAGAUGAGAUCUCCUUGUCCACAUGACAAAAGUCACUGCUUCUUUGUCCCCAUGGUCCCUCCCACCUGCGCCCCUGUCGGAUUCCCAGCAAUAACUGAGUUUUGGCACUGGCUGAGCUAGUAGCCACUAUCUGUGAGAGAAAGAGGCCACAUUUCUUCUCUGUGGCAAGUGAACGGGAGGGUUCCUCAUGUCACCAGAACCCUCCUGCUAAGUUAUUUUUGAACACAUCUGGAAUUCUCCUUCUGGAGACGUCCAGGUCUAUGGCUUAAAGGAUGAUUUUUUUCCCCUUGUGGUAUUUUUAUUUAAGGUAAACCAGAGCACAUGUGUAUGUACAUAAGACACACAACACCUAUAAAUACUAUUUAUUCAUUUUAUAUAAACUAAUGUAAUGCAAUAUAAAUUCUUAUGACUGCUUUUAUAGAUGUUCUAGAAACUUUGUACGUAGCUGUCUACAAAAUUAAUUCAUUCCCCUGAAUAUUUUUGCAUUCAUACUCUGAAGUCUGGAUGUUUUCAGCCUCUGGCAAGUCUUUUUCACUGAAUCCGAACCACCUGUAAAGACUGCGCUCUGCGGCCGAACCUGUGUCACCAGGUAAUGGGACAGUCCUGAGAUCCACAGGUGUCACCUAAGGGCUCCACAGCUGACUCAGCAGCAGGCAGCUACACAGUCACACACCCCCUCCUCAAGUCCAAACACACCCUGGCAGAGAGAAUAGUCCCAGCCACACAAGGUCACUGUGGACGGCAUGUGUUCCUUGAUGGUCCCAAAAUCCUGUUUUGGCUUUUUUUUUUUUUUUUAACUUGUUGGAGUGUUUUUCAAAUACCAGCUGAAAUGUAGCCCAGAAACACAGCUUGGACACCAUUUGUGUUUGUAAAGCCCCUUCCAGAGCCUAACAGUGCAGGUGUCCAGGGAGCUGGCAGGCCUGGCUCUAGAUACAGCUGUGCCUGGAGGGCCACUGGAUCCCCACCCGUUAGAUCUCGAGGGCAUCAGGUCUGUUCACUGCACCCAAAGGCAACGGAAAGUCAGGACCACAGGAGGACGCUGUGGGCUGCCCAGGGGAGGGAACAAACCUCUACACAUCUUUAUUCCACUUAGAAGGUGUCUGAGAGACACCGCCAUUCUCUGUGCUUUCAUUGUUGCGCCUUUGCGUUAAACUGUUUUUUAUUUUUUAUUUUUUAUUUUUUGUCUUUCAGUUGAAAUAUGAAGUGUACUGUCCCAACAUAAAACAGUGAUUAUUUGACCUUCACCCUGUUUGUCUGGUCCUUGCAUAGGUGUGUGGUAGAUCUCUGUAUUCUUAGAGCACUUGACAGGCUAACUGCCAAGGGCAGGCCUGACUCUGGAAGCUGGACUGAGUCACUGUGGUAGGCAGGCUUUUCUCUGACCAAAACUGUAGCUUUUGGGGACCUGCAGGUGUUGCCCAGGGCAGCUAAUUCCCACCCAGUCUCUCCUUCACUCAUCACCAGCAUGUCUGCCAAGAGCUAGGCUCCAGGGUGGUUUUUGUUUGCUUAAGCAAAAGGAGAAACCUUUCUAUUAAAGUUGUUGGGGUGGGGGGUGAGGAAGACGCAGGUAUGAACCCCAGCAUUAAGACUUUGACAGUGUACAAGAGCAGAAGUGUUUCAGUCAGUCAAGCCCCUGGAUAUUUAUAUGUGAAAGUUCCUUCUGAAACUAAAAUCUCAGCUGUACCCUAACGACACUGUCGCAAUACAAGUGGGAACACAGGAGCUUGCUGUCAACUUCAUCCCAUGCCACAAGGAAAUUGUCCGCGUCGUCCGGAAAACACAGAAUGGCUUUGGAUGUCUGCCCUGCAGCCAACAAGUGGUGAUCCGGGUUUUCUUUGGCUAGCCAGGUAUCUUGAAAUCAGUAGCACCGACCAGUGCCUCUGCCCUUGAAGAACUGGUGCUGGCUUGGUGAGGCCAUUGGGGGGUCGUGAACAGGACCUGAUUUUCCCUCUGGACCCAAGGCUAGAAUGUCUCCAGCUGGGAUCCCUGAGUUGGGCAGGCCCAACCCUCCAGUGGCUCCUGCAAUAGUUUUACUGUUUGUUUUUAAAGUAGCAUUUUCACCUACCCCUGCUGUGUUCGGCAGAAGCGGGGUUUCCUGUGGCCCUUCUCCCCGUGUCUGAUGGGGCCAAGGGUGUUUGGGGUCUAAGAACACAGGAGAUGGCAUAUGAUACUCAAAACCUUCUAGCAAUAUCUUGGGGACUUGACGAUGAGUUCUGUGGACUUUCUCCCUCUUGCCUUCUUCCCUGCCCCUUCAAGAGAGAACUUAUUUUUUGAAGAGCAUAUAUAGACACAUUAAGGUUUUAUACCACGCUGUAUUGGCAGGAAUACCACUUUUGUUGUGGUCUGUAAUUUAUCAGCCACAUCCUGCUUUCUGUUUCUUUCCUGGCUACAGUGUUUUGUCUCCCUGCUUGACCAUCCCUCUGUGUGUCCUGCUAUUUUUCUGUCUCUUUGGUACUUCAAUGGCUGCUACUCCUGACUUAGUGCUUUCUGGGAGAAGCCAGCGCAGCGCCUUUUGCCGUGUGCUGGCCUCUCUCAUGCUGUGUGCCCAGAGCACUGUAGUCUGCAGCAUGGUUUGUUUUCAGAGAUCCUGGGUUGAGGUGGUGUGAGAUGUGAUCCAUCAAUACUUCUAAUACUUUUCUUUAACUGUGGGCUUCUAAAAGAAAUAGUUGAUUGGCACCAUUAGAUUCCACUCGUGGAUGGCCAAAGAAAUUGACUGUUUAGCAUAUCUCAAAAUCAAACGGUGAGAAUCAGGAAGGCGCUCUGUGCUGGGAUAUGCCUGGAUGUCUUCCUUUGAGUUCUUACUCUGCCUAGGAGGGCAGUGGGUUGAAGAGGGCAUUCUUCUUUUUAGCUUUGAUCUAAAAAACCAAGCUUGCCUCUACCGCUGUCCCUAGAAUUGGUGCUCUGGUAUGUUGCUGUGAGUGGCUAGUUUGGGGGACUAUCUUUCUAAAGGUGGACGGCCUCCGCAGGAGAGCCGCGGGUGAAGAAUGGGAAGCGCGUUUCCAGAUGUUUCUUUCUGUAAAUAUGGUGCCAAUGUAAACCUCUGCUGAGACUGGAGAAUGGUGCUGGGGGGGGAGGGGCUGCAGUUAGUACACGUGUUUUUAGAAGCCAUCAUGAUUUAGAGACUCCAUGCUGUGUGUAAAGUUAUGUGUCCGUCCAUUAACAAAUAAAUUAUUUCAUUAUUAAA